CCAGGAUUUUUCAUUUUUGUCCGGUGGGAUUUGGGAAGGAAUGCAUUGCCUUGGAUUUAUAAAGAGCAUCGUCGGAGGGAUAUUGUCAGUAUGUCGUUGCUACCAAGAAAAGGUGGAAUUUAAGGGUCAAGAUUUUGACCUUUUGCCGGGUCAACAGCGCCGCACUUGGAAUUCGUAAGGACGAGAGGGCUUCCCAACUUGGAAACGGCAUCAAAACAUUUUAGGUUUUUAAUGUUUUAGGUGCCGAAAUCGUCGUUUUUCAUUUCGCCGAGUCGGGAAAUGGGAUUUUGUUUGUAUGCCGUUGCUGCCAGAAAAAAGUCGAUUUCAAGGGUCGCGAAAUUGACCUUUUGCCGGGUCAGCAGCGGCGCACCUAGGGUUAAGAAGGACGAGGGUGCACCCCAACAUGGAGACGGCAUCCAAACAUUAUAGGAUUUUUAUGUUUUAGGUGACAAAAGCUUCGUUUUUCGUUGCGCCUAGCAGGGAAGUAGUAGGUUGCGUAGUUUUAUGCUUUUAUUAAUAUGUUUUUCUUUUUCAGGGAUAUUGUCAGUGUUAUCGUUGCU
rnacentral:sRNA from 1 species